rnacentral:rRNA from 1 species
UACGGAGGGUGCAAACGUUGCUCGGAAUCAUUGGGCGUAAAGCGCACGUAGGCGGCCUGUUAAGUCGGGGGUGAAAUCCUGGAGCUCAACUCCAGAACUGCCUUCGAUACUGAAGAGCUCGAGUCCGGGAGAGGUGAGUGGAACUGCGAGUGUAGAGGUGAAAUUCGUAGAUAUUCGCAAGAACACCAGUGGCGAAAGCGAACUUCCUGGACCAAUACUGACGCUGAGGCACGAAAGCGUGGGGAGCAAACAGGG